UUUCCCCAAUAAGACCGUCCAUACUUAGCACAAGCGACAAAAGACUGGUACUCGAGAUCUCAACCUCAAAAUUUAGUUAUUUCAUAUUUUUCAGUUUAGUUUAUUUCUAAAAAAAAAUUAAAUAAAACAAAUAGCAUGUUACUUCUGUAUCUUAAAAAUAUACAUGUUAAAAAAUAUAUAUAUAUUACACGCAAGCCUUUUAAUGCUAAGAAUAAAGAGCUUAGUAAUGAAGUUAAAAUACAAAUCGAAAGUCAUUUGAGAGAGAGAGAGAGAGAGAGAGAGAGAGGGAGAGAGAGAGAGAAACGAAUAAAAUUAUUACACUAUAAUAGAAAAGGAGAUUGAUCAUGAGUACUCACAUAGUGAAUCAACUAACCUCUUUAGGAGCCAAUUGUGCAUGAUCAACAUCACUAUUAGGAGCAAACAUGGUUUCAUUAGCCCCAUCAACAUUAGAGUCACUGUUCCCACUCAUUCUCCAUGAAGAGAUCUCCACGCUUCUGUUCCAUGGGUCUACGGACAUGUAGGAGAAAACGCAAGCAAUAGCCAUGGCCACUCCAAGGAGGAAGGAGACUAAGAGUGAGCGGUUACUCAUGUCACGGCCCAUCACCUUUUUGAGAUCGAGAGAGAGAGAGAGAGAGAGAGAGAGAGAGAGAGGGAUUUUAGGAAUUAAGUGGCAAUUGAUUAACAGGUACAGUGUAUGGAAUGUAUGUUGGACCCUUUAAUAUUUUUCGGAUACGCUGUGCCUUGGUCUCUGCCUUUUAUUUUUAUUUUUGAAGGGGCAUAUUGUGAGACUUGGUCUCUGAACUUAAAAAUCUAAGCUUUUAUAUUUAUAUAUAUAUAUAUAUAUAUAUAUAUAUAUAUAUAUAUAUAUAGAGCGAGGCUACCAUGCUUCUGGAAGCACGGAGCCUCCCGUGCUUUUAGGUCGUUUUUCAUGUUGCGACUUUCGAAUCGUCGAUCGGCUCCGUUAAACUUGAUCUAGAGUAUUUGAAAUAUCUAGAAAAUAAAUUAUGCGAUUUUUUAAUAUUAUUUGCCUAGUGAAUGAAGGGGCUCAAAAUUAACUGCUGAAAAUAAAAAUCUUAUAAUACUUGAUAAUAUGAUAUUAAAAUUUUAGAUCAAAGAUAUUGAUCUUGUUUUAUAUAGUAUAAAGAAUUUUUUAUCAAAAUUUUACGUAAUUUGGAUAUUUCUACACCGUUAAACUUGCAAAUGGCUCACUACGGCCUUUAAAAUUAUUGAUUUUGAGCCCCCUUCGAUCAUUAGGCAAAUGAUAUCAAAAAUCAUAAAAUUUAUUUUCUAGGUACUUCAAAUACUCUAGAUCAAGUUUAACGGAGCCGAUCGACGAUUCGAAAGUUGCAACAUCGAAAACGACUUGAAAACACGGAAGGCUCCGUGCUUCCAAAAGCAUAGUAGCCUCACUUAUAUAUAUUUAUAUAUAUAUAGUAGGUUUCCUACGUUUUCAAAAGUAUGGAAGCUCUCGUAUUUGUAAGGUAUUUUAUGAUGAUAAGACAUUCGAUUCAACAAUUGGCUCCGUUAGGUAUGAUUUAUCCUAUUAAGAAACCAAAAUUUAGAAAAAUUAGGUAUUCGUACUUAAUUGGAACAGUUAAUUUGCGUUAAUGUUUAACCUCUCACCUGAAGUUAGGUAUGAGCAUAAGCAUAAGUACCCACCGUAGCGAAUCGUCGCAAAAAUUUCUUCGCGAAUCUCUCUUUUUUUUUUCUUGUGCUUAUUUUAGAGGCCGUGCUCCAUGAUAAAAAUAUGCAGAACUUAUUUGAAUUAUAGACCAUUUAAAGUUGACUAUCAAAUCUUUCAAAAUUCUAAUUUUACUAUUUAUCAUUUCAAUUUGUUUGAUUUGAGUCAAUCAAAAAUAUUUUGAUUUUAAAAUUUAAACAAAUUACUAACUAUGAUUAAUUC
rnacentral:lncRNA from 1 species